AAAACAUAUUAAAUACAAUCUAAUGUCUUCACUAAAAAACAAAACAAAAAAGAAAACACUGAAACAACCACGGGAGGAAGUGAGAUAGGUGACACAAUUUACACCAAAAGUUACAUACUAUAUGUCCAAAAAAUUAAUCGAAUGUAAUAUAUAAAAUGUGUUCUGUAAUUUCAUCUAUACUCUCGAUAUCAAUUUUAUCAUUGUUUGACAACAUUCUGUUUAACCCCUGCAGAACUACAG